GCCAGCCCCUGCCCAUAUAAGAGAGCUGCCAGCCAAUCCUCUUUCUCUUUUCUUUUAUCUUGCGCAUUUGCUCCUGAGCUGCAAAGCAAGCAGCAUCUCUUGGGUUCCGGACUAUCAGAGAGAGGAGAUCCGUGAAACUUACAAGACAAAACCAGGCCUGAAGCCUAACAAUCCCGCAACUUACUAACCGUGACUGAGUGCAUUUUACCACACUCUGUGCAGGUGUCCCAAGUCAGUGAGAAUGGGUGCUCCACUGUCUCAUAUCAGAUUUAAAGGCCAAAAUAAGACUAACCUCCAAACCCAGUCAUCGAACCACUUAAAGGGUUUAUCCAAUAUAAGAAAAAAGAAAUGAUGAGCAUGUGUGGAAAUGUCUUGUCUCCUUGUUCAAUAACAGACUCCAGGAGUCCAGAUUAACUGUGGGUAAUAUCAGUCAUCCGGUAUUUCUUCUUUCUCAGCAAUGAAGCUCUAUACUCAUGGAAUUUCACUAAAUACACA